rnacentral:lncRNA from 1 species
GGCUGUUUGGGAAUCUGUGCCACCUUCAGGUUGUGGGAGCUAUUGUGGUGAGGAGGGACCUCCAGGGUCAUGUUUGUGUCCCAGGGAAGACUGAGUACUUGUCAUCUGGUGGUUGACUUAGAGAGCUGACAGAAUUAACUGAUGCUUUUUUCCUCCUGACUCUGCAGUUAGAGCAACAUGCCCUCUUUCCUGUUGCUGGAAGCCGUCUGUAUCUUCUUGUUUUCCAGAGCACCCCCAUCCCUUCCUCUUCAGGAAGUCCAUGUAAACAGGGAGACCAUCGGGAAGAUUUCAGCUGCCAGCAAAAGUAAGCCCGUGUUUGACUUCACCUCCAGACACCCUCCACGGAA